rnacentral:rRNA from 1 species
UACGGAGGGUGCGAGCGUUGUCCGGAAUCACUGGGCGUAAAGGGCGCGUAGGCGGCCUGAUAAGUAGGGGGUGAAAUCCUGCGGCUUAACCGCAGGGCUGCCUUCUAAACUGUCAGGCUGGAGCACAGUAGAGGCAGGUGGAAUUCCCGGUGUAGCAGUGAAAUGCGUAGAGAUCGGGAGGAACAUCUGUGGCGAAGGCGGCCACCUGGACCAGCACUGACACUGAGGCACGAAAGCGUGGGGAGCAAACAGG